CUGUUUUAUAGAAAAUUACAAAGCCUGAAUGUGUCCAAGCUCUGGACACAAACACAAUCAGAAAAUGUCACUCUUGUUCACUGAGCUAAACGUCAAAAAAUUAUUAUUUUUUCAUCCAGAUGGAAAACUCAAAGGAGACAUCAGUGGAAGAAUUGGCAGAUGCGAAAAGCAAGUCUACAGAAUUAUCGCACGAGGAGUCAUCCAAUGAACAGGAUGAGGAUUCGAGAGCCCGACACUGACCAUGAAUGACCGAACUCAGUGAGAACACAAGAAGACCUCAUUCAGAUUUAAUGUGUUUUCAGUUGUACUUUGUUGGCUCAUAUAUAAGGCCGGGGGCCUGGGAUGGUUGACUGUACAUUUUA